AAAAAAAGAUCAAAUUGCAACACAAGUGAAAUUCUUUAUUUAAUUCCUACUGAUAACACUUACAUCCACACACAUAACAGUGGAGUGGAGUAUUGGGUGUAAAAUUGAAGACAAUUUCAAACUCAAAUGUUAGACAUUUGCAAAGGCUUGAAGGGCAUCACCAGUCAGCCUACAAACCCUCCAUUCCUGCAUAACUUGAGCUCCCAUUUCUUCAUAAAACUUGAUCGCAUUCACGUUCCAAUCUAGAACCACCCAUUCCACUCUUCCAUAACCCAUUUUCGCCGCCUGAGCAGCCACAGCUGACAACAACAUCUUCCCAAAACCUUUCCUCCUAUAACACUCCCUCACAAAUAUAUCCUCGAUGUAAAACCCAGGUUUCGCUAAGAAAGUCGAAUAGUUAGGGAAAAACAACACAAAUCCAGCAACCACAACAUCAUUUCCACACGAUCUGAACGAUUCCGCUUGCGGGUCGGUAAUCGGGAGAUCCAGAUUUACCGUUUUAUGUAUAGGGGUGAAAUUUGGGUAGUUUUGGUCGAUUAGAGGGAAAGGGGUUUGAGAAACUUCGAGAAGGAAAACGGUGAAGGAGGUGAACGGAGGUGGGGAGUUUUCAGGGAAGAGAGUGGAGGAAAGUGAAGAUUCUGUGGCGGAGAAGAGAUGGGUGAGUCUCUCAAAGACGGCCAUCUGGUGGAUGAGUUUGUGGAUAUGAGGAACGUCGACGAUGGUGGCAAGCCGAAUUCGGGAGAAGACAUUGUAUCCAGUCGGAAGCAAGUCCUCGGAGAUGACGUCGGGUGUAGGCGACGGCGGCGGUGGAGGUGCUGCGGCGGCCAUUUUUUUCUCAGAGAAAGGUGUCUUUGCUGAGCUUAACUUUAGGUGGAAUGGGAUUAGUGUUG
rnacentral:misc_RNA from 1 species